rnacentral:tRNA from 1 species
GGGCGAUUAGCUCAGCUGGUUUAGAGCGCCUGCCUUACAAGCAGGAGGUCAGAGGUUCGAGUCCUCUAUCGCCCA